rnacentral:rRNA from 1 species
AGUGACCCCGGUCUAACCACCGGGAUGUUCAUAACCCUUUGUUGUCCGACUCUGUUGCCUCCGGGGCGACCCUGCCUUCGGGCGGGGGCUGGCCCACCUGUGAAGAAACUCUUGCGUAACUUUGCAGUCUGAGUAAACUUAAUUAAUAAAUUAAAACUUUUAACAACGGAUCUCUUGGUUCUGGCAUCGAUGAAGAACGCAGCGAAAUGCGAUAAGUAAUGUCUUAACGUCUUAUCAGUGAAUCAUCGAAUCUUUGAACGCACAUUGCGCCCCCUGGUAUUCCGGGGGGCAUGCCUGUUCGAGCGUCAUUUCACCACUCAAGCCUCGCUUGGUAUUGGGCAACGCGGUCCGCCGCGUGCCUCAAAUCGACCGGCUGGGUCUUCUGUCCCCUAAGCGUUGUGGAAACUAUUCGCUAAAGGGUGUUCGGGAGGCUACGCCGUAAAACAACCCCAUUUCUAAGGUUGACCUCGGAUCAGGUAG